AUGCAAGAGAGAUUCCGAUUUUGGGGCUAUGCCUUCAGCCUAAGAGAGAGCAAAAUCUUUUUCUACCAGCUAAAAGGAGGUGAAAGUUUUGGUCCCCUCACACCGCGGAUCGCCUUUACUUUGUCUAAUUGGGGUGUUUUGAGCCUCAUCGCUACGCCCGAAGUGCAGAAGAGCCUGCGGGAAACGAGCUCGCAACAACCGAGAACCAGGGAUCAACAACAACUCGCGUCGCUUUCCCUAUGUGCAUAUCACUCGACUCUCAUUUAAGCCAGAUGUGUUAACCUGAUCCCUGCGAAACACCAGCUCUCCGUGGAUUUUGACCGCGAGUGACCGGAUGUUGUUUCCGGCCUGAGGUUGCCUGAAAUGCCGUGAGGCUCGUUUGAAAGAUUGCGCCCGAGACCAACUCCGCCUCCAAGGCGUGCCUACCUUUAGCUGCCACCAGUGAGAUAUCAGAGCCGGGCUCCACAUAUCCAAUCAGGAGCACGAGCAAGACAGCUUUUGCAGACUCUCCAGAAAUAUACAAGUCCUUACCAACUGCUCUGCAACCCAGUGUUUCUGGUCCCCUCACUAACAUCGCUUUUUGAGAUAUUUUUUAUGAACCACCAAAAAAGCAAUUUUUGCCCCCCAGUACACAAGACUGGAUCUGAGGGCAGCAGCGGGGACAAAUGAUUGUAAUGAAGCGACGGACAUUUCAUGGCUGGUCUUAGAUAAUCGUGAGUUAUUGUGUCUUAUGGUGAGUAGUUUUGCAAGAGGCAUACAAGCACUGUGGAAAAAGUAAUUGUGUGUAAGUCCUCUAAAACUGUUUUUUGUGAACACUUUGCUCCCCACGUUAUGCUUUAAAAAAUUUGAUACAUGUAAUGUGAUCAUCAAAGAACAUGUUCUUUUUAAAAACACUCAUUCUUAUGCUUUUAAACUAUGUCAGAUUAUCAUAAAACACUUAUUUGUAUGUUAUAAUGUUUUUCUUACACCAUGUGUAAUUUUCAUUCACACCUUGUUCAUUGUAUCAAUGUGUAAUUAUGUAUCUUUGAUAAAUAAAUAAAAUAUUUAAUCCUGUAU
rnacentral:lncRNA from 1 species